ensembl:ncRNA F25G6.13 ncRNA
GUGCAAACAGACUAACCUGUAUCUUUAUGCAUCAUCGUCUAGAGGUGUGUGCAGCAACCGCACUGAAGUAGCAGCUGGAAUUGAUGUAGAAAGGUUGCAAGUAGCGAAAAGUCUAAAAGAGGAGAAUGUUGGGGAUAGUAACUGAGACGGACGGGAGCCCAAAUGUCUCGGACACACGCAAGAGUACGCAAGCUGGUAUAUGACGACGC